UACGUAGGCAGCAAGCGUUGUUCGGAGUUACUGGGCGUAAAGGGUGCGUAGGUGGCUCUAUAAGUAUGGUGUGAAAUCUCCCGGCUUAACUGAGGAACUGCACGGGAUACUGCGAGACUUGAGAUCGGGAGAGGGAAGCGGAAUUCCGGGUGUAGCGGUGAAAUGCGUAGAUAUCCGGAGGAACACCGGUGGCGAAGGCGGCUUCCUGGACCGACACUGACGCUGAGGCGCGAAAGCUAGGGAAGCAAACGGG
rnacentral:rRNA from 1 species